rnacentral:tRNA from 1 species
AUUAAAGUAGCAAUUAUUGCGUUAUAUUUAGAAUAUAAAGAAGAAGUAUUUUCCUUUAAUU